UACGUAGGGGGCUAGCGUUGUCCGGAUUUAUUGGGCGUAAAGAGCGUGUAGGCGGCCAGACAGGUCCGUUGUGAAAACUCGAGGCUCAACCUCGAGACGCCGAUGGAAACCGUCUGGCUAGAGUCCGGAAGAGGAGAGUGGAAUUCCUGGUGUAGCGGUGAAAUGCGCAGAUAUCAGGAAGAACACCCGUGGCGAAGGCGGCUCUCUGGGACGGUACUGACGCUGAGACGCGAAAGCGUGGGGAGCGAACAGG
rnacentral:rRNA from 1 species